UUGAAAGGGAAACGAUUGAAGUCAGUCGUACCGGCGGGUAAUCAGCCUUUUGGGUGUGAUUAUGUGGAGCGUGAGGAGUUAAUCACCCUCAUCUUUGCAUAUUCGUGCACUUUGGGUGUACUUGCUCGUGUGGUAGGUUAACAUCAAUUUUGAUCGUCAUAAAAUGAUUGGGGGAAUGUAGCUUCGAUCUCGUAUUGAAGUGUUAUAACCUUCGGUAGAUGUGAUGAUUGGGAUUGAGGAUUGCAACGGAUACCCUUCGGGGCUACCUGUCUGAUCUCUGAAAGUUGCUCUGGUGCUGAAAGCUUGCUUACGGUAUCAAAGUUGACGUUCAACAGGUUAGAACGGGAUAAAUUCGUUAAGGAUGUUGACGUA
rnacentral:rRNA from 1 species